rnacentral:misc_RNA from 1 species
AAAGUCGUAACAAGGUUUCCGUAGGUGAACCUGCGGAAGGAUCAUUUCCGAAAACAACUCUUACAAACCAAUCUUGUGGAAUGUUUUGGGUUUUUUUACUCUUGGAAGGUAGGGUUUAGUUGCGCCAAAUAGUGGCAACAGUCGUGCCAGUGGGCACAUUCGCUGUUGCCCGCCUAUUAUAGCGCAGUGCUUGACACCCUAUUUCUUCCGAGAGGCCAUGAUGAACUACCUUCGGGUUGAUAGUACAUCGUUUUUUCAAACUCUUGUUGUCUUUUACCGGACAGCAGAAAACAAAACAAUGAUACGACAACUUUUAACGGUGGAUCUCUUGGCUCGU